GUGUCAGCCGCCGCGGUAAUACGUAGGCAGCAAGCGUUGUUCGGAGUUACUGGGCGUAAAGGGUGUGUAGGUGGCGCGCUAAGUUCCGUGUGAAAUCUCCCGGCUCAACCGGGAGGGUGCGCGGAAAACUGGCGGGCUAGAGUACGGGAUGGGAGAGUAGAAUUCCUGGUGUAGCGGUGAAAUGCGUAGAUAUCAGGAGGAAUACCGGUGGUGUAGACGGCUCUCUGGACCGUAACUGACACUGAGACACGAAAGCGUGGGUAGCAAACAGGAUUAGAUACCCUGGUAGUCC
rnacentral:rRNA from 1 species